CUCAAAGAUUCGAAUCAGCCUUUGGAUAAAGCCGUUUCAAGUACAACCAUGCAACUGAAGAUUGUUUGUCUACUUCUGGUCGCCACAGUGGCCAUGACAGCCGCCUACAGGGGUCAGUACAACUCUUUGAGGAACCACGGGCGUUACGGUCGCUACGACUACGACAUUGAGGUUCCCGACUUCCCCGACUUUGACAGCUACAUGUACAGAUAUCUAAUGACGAGAGGUCGUCGACAAGGCAGACAGAGCAAACAGAACACGAACCGCUACAACAGUUUGAGGAAUCUUGCCAGACUUGAGGCUUAUGACCUUUUUUGAGUUAGAAUACACCGGUGUCAUAUGACAGGGACAUGACAUUAAUAUCGGCAUUGGAAGGGGUUUUAUACUAAACCACACAUCUACGAAGAAAAUA
rnacentral:lncRNA from 1 species